CGGUGCGGGUCGAUGCGGUUUGGAAGAAAAAUAAAAACCGGCGAAUUGAUAAAAGUGUCACUAGAAUUUGCCAUUUUUCUUAUCAAAAAUCGGCGGUUCGAUUGACAAAUAAUAACGAAUUUGUCUUGGCGGUGCGGCUCGGUGCGAUUUUGGCGGUUGUGGCGGUAUUAUGCACACCCGUAAUUGUAAGGAAAAGACCUGGGCUAGGCUAGGUGACCUUUAAUCGGAUCGUCUUAGAGAAAGGGCCUAGGAUGCCACCCCGAGGAUGACUCUUGGUUCAAUAUUGGAUCCAACAGGCUUAUUGCCUUGAGAAUUUUGUGGCGUGUUACUUGUUUUUCUUGGUACCAAAAAAAUUAUUGAUGAUCAUGUUGUAAUCUGUUUUAAGUGGAGAAUGUCAUCUGCUAUGUUCUUGAAAGACAUGAAUAUUUUAACUGUUGAACUAUGGAACCUUCUUUUUGAAGUAGAUUGUCUUUAUCAAAACUGUAUGACAAUCUAGUUUUUGUGAUAUAUAUCUUAUUUUGGAAUUGAACCUUGUUUUCAAAACUGUAUUUACUAUCCAUGUUUCUACUCACUGAGCUAUCGGCUGACUUAGUUGUUUAUCAAUUCCAAGUCAUAGAAAAACUUAAAGUUGACCCAUUUAUAUGCGACGUAAACAAUUGACUCAUGUGUACAGAGACAUUUAUAAGGAUCCAUAAUAGUUGACCCAUGAUCACAUGGGGCGUAUAGUUGACUCAUGAUUACAUGAGACGUUCAAUUGACUCAUAAUUCCGUGAGACGUAUACAGAGUAGAUAACAGAUAUCACUUGAUGCUAAGGAUGCCAUGAAUAUAUUUCAGAAAAAUGGUCAUUCAUUUAUAAUUCAUAAAAUAGCAAUUUAGAAAACAGAUCAUAUCAUUUUAGUCAGAAAAUACUUAUAAUCAAAUAUAGUUUUAUAGAGUUGUUACUCACAGAUAGCUCCAGAAGCAAAUUAGACAGAUUAGACAGAUCAGACAGAUUAGGCAAACGAUAGCGCGUGACUUACACAAACACAACAUAUACACAUUGAAACACAAUAUCAUUUCUUGAACAAACUUGACUUCUCUUGUCAUUUUCUGUCUAAGUAAUCCGAAGUUGUACUAUGGUUAUUCUUUCUUAUUCAAAUGAAUCGAGUUCUUAUUUCACAUAUUCUUUCAUUACCAAAUCUUUUUCUUCCAAAUAGAUCGAUUUCUUAGUUGGCUUCUUAGUCAAUUAUUACUAAAUUAGUGAUUUAUUCCUUAACCAACUAAUUUAUGUUAAUUGUUAGUUUAUUAAUCUUGUUGAGUCAGAAUUCUUGCCUAAGAAUGCUUAGAAAGAGAUGAGAUUAAAAAUAUGAACUAAAUGCCAUUUUUCCAAAAUAUGCUGAAAAAGAGUUGUUUGCUUGAGCGAACUGCUUGUCGCUUGAGCGAUCUGUAAAGACUGCAAAAGUACUAGAAGCCUUCAAUGUGGGCUCGAGCAAUAAUUAGUCCACUCGAGGAGUUUGUAAAAUUUCAGAGUUUCAAAUUUCUCAAAAAUGGCUUCCAAAUGCAUUUUCAAUCUUUAAACCCAUACAUAUCUUGAUCCAAACUCGAAAAUACUUUAGAAAACAUUAACACUUAUUUAGUUAUAAAUCAUUUACUCAAAAUCUGGAAGCAUAAUAAUUAAUUUAUUUAAAUCAAAACCUUACUUCAUUUCAAAAUCAAAACCCACGAACUCAUGUUUUUUUUCUAAAAUUCUUUUUCAAAAUUAAAUGUGCAAUGAAAUUACAUGUAACUCAUGAAGCUUAAUUUAAUUAUAACUCUCAAGAUCAAAUCCAAAAUAAGGAAUUUUUAAAUUAACUUUUAUAAACUUGAAUCUAAUUCAAUUUCUUCAUCCUUUUACUAAUUCCUUUCAAAUUACAUGAAAUUCAUUUUCAACUCUUUUCUAUUUCCUUAAAUUCAUGAAAUUGAAGUUACAAAACUCUUUGAAAAGUAUUUUCAUGUAUGAAAUUAAGAUCAAAACUAAUUAAUUAUAUAUUUUCUAAUCAUAAUUUACUUUUCGAAUUGCUCAAAUUUAGAUUUUUAUUAAUUUUCUUCAUAUCAAACCCAAAUUCAAACUCACAGGUCUUUUAAGCAUGAAUUAAAAUCUAAAAUCUUGAAAUCCAAGAUGCAUGUAAGGAUGAGUUUUAAAUUUAUGAAGAAUAACAAAAAUCAAACUCAAAUUAACUAAUUUCCAAAUUUAUUUCCAUAAUUUUAAACUUAACUCCAUUUUCUUCAUCUUCUUGUUAAUUCCUUUUAAUCACGUGAUUUUGAUUCUAAUUUCAUCUUUAAUUUCUAGUGUAAUGUGAAGAUUCUAUACAAAUUAAACAUAAAUUUCAUACCUUAAGUUUUAAUUUCAGAAAAUUUAGUUGAUUUCUUCCUUAAUAAAAUCUCAAUAUUACUAAUCUGAAUCGAAUAUUUAAUUAAACUCUCAUAUGUUCCGAUAUUUGAAAUGAAAAUAAUUCAAUUCACCAAUUAUACUCUCUUGAACUAUUUAGGCUUUCCAUUUCUAAUUCCAAAAUAAAUUCUUAAUAGAAUUAUAUACGAAUUUGCCUCCACAAUUUUCCAAAUUAAAUCAGAAUAAUGGGCAAUUAAAAUUCAAGUCUCCUUAAUUAAUUAAAUGUUAAUUAUUAUAUUUGAUGGGGUCGUCACAAGAAGUGUGAAUGCUCUUGGAAUUGGCCAAUCAGCUACUAAUCGUAGAGUUCCCUAUGCUCCUAUUCCUCAUUCAGUAGCGCCAACUACUGCGCCAGUUGUGGGCACUGUUCUUCCUACUACACCAUCUGUUGCUUCAGUUGCCUCUAAAGCACUAGGAGUUGUUCCUAUUGCACCAAGCACAUAGGUUUUACAGUCUUGUUGGGAUUAUUGAACAAUCAUAUAGCCCCAUAACCAGCAGUUCCACCAACCUUAAGUUUGGAUAGAGGUUCCUUAUUUGAGAGGUUUAUGACGGCAAAACCUCUAGAAUUUCAUGGAGCAGCAGACCCUAUAGAGGCAGAGGCAUGGUUACUACAAAUGGAGAAAAUAUUUAAUUUUCUAGGUCGUUCAGCAAACCAAAAGGUGGCCAUUGCAGCUUUUAGGUUCAAGGGUCAAACAGAGCAUUGGUGGCACAUGGUGAAGCAUCAAUAUGAGGGUAGAGAAGCAGAGCUGGUAUGGAACAAGUUUCUGGAACUGUUUAAUGAGAAAUACUUCCCUGAAGUGGUUCAGAGGCAGAAACAAGUGGAGUUUCUCAAGUUUAAGUAGAAUAACAUGGCAGUGGCUCAAUAUGAAGCCAAGUUUGCAGAAUUGUCAAGGUAUGCUCCACAUCAGGUAGCUACAAAAGAAGAUAGAGUGAUGCUGUUUGAGAAUGGCUUGCGGUCAGAGAUUUAUGCAAAGGUAGCUAUCUUAGAGAUGAAGACAUAUUCCGCAUUGAUACCCCAAUUUGAAGAAUGUGAAGGAUCUGAUUCACAAGAAAGGCUUGGUAAAAAUUAUCAAGUAGAAAGUUCCCCUGACCGACAAUAACAUUAUUGAACUGACAUUGAGGAAGCAUGUCAUUUUAUGCAUAGAAGACAGUGUAUACGAGGUCAAUAUUGCUUGAAAAGAUGCAAAAUAUGAUCAAAGAAGACAGAAAUUUAAAAUUUGAGUUUUCCUUAAAUUUUUUUUAUAUUUUUAAUUUUUUCAUUAGAUUACAGUGAAAAAACCUUUUAUUCCUUAACUUUUAUUGUACAUAUUUUUUCAACAUUCGACUUUCAUUUAUGAAAUGUAUGAGGUUAUUAGUUAUUCA